rnacentral:rRNA from 1 species
UACGAGGGGAGCUAGCGUUAUUCGGAAUUACUGGGCGUAAAGCGCACGUAGGCGGCUUUGUAAGUUAGAGGUGAAAGCCCCAGAGCUCAACUCUGGAAUUGCCUUUAAGACUGCAUCGCUUGAAUCCAGGAGAGGUGAGUGGAAUUCCGAGUGUAGAGGUGAAAUUCGUAGAUAUUCGGAAGAACACCGGUGGCGAAGGCGGCUCACUGGACUGGUAUUGACGCUGAGGUGCGAAAGCGUGGGGAGCAAACAGGAUUAGAUACCCGGGUAGU